UUAAAAGUGUUUAAAGAAAUGAGCUGCUCAGCUGGCUCUAGGCAAGGUCUUCUCUGAGUCCUGGCCACUUUUCACUUGGAGAUUUCUUGGUUCUGCCUUUUCUGCCGGGGACAGGGACUGAAAAUGAAACACUGCAAGAGAGGUUUCUCCCUUCAGGUUUUCAGCCCUUUUUUGCUGAUUCAAAGGUAUAGGACCAGCAUCCCAGAGGAUGAAUUCCCCAUCACUAUCAGGCACUUUGAUUUUGUCUAGCCGCUUUUCAAGCUGAGUAUAUGAUGAUCUUAUUGGUGUGCCGUGCUAUUUCUGCCUGCCCUCGGGAGGCAGAGAUUUGGAUGACGGCACUGGUGAGGCAGGUGCGGGCUGGAUCCUUGACACUCUAAUUCUGAAAUCAAUGGAGCUGGGACGAUUCACUCCGCCUGGGCGCCAGGGAAAUCAGUGGCUUCCAGAUCAGCUCAGCUCCAUUUGGAGAGGAAAAGAAGGGGUUGCUCUUCUACUCUCGGAGCCAGGAAGAGUACCUGGCAUGCAAGAAACCCAUCUGUCCAUCACACAACAUCUCUUAAGGGGAGAGAUCCUGCAGCAGGGACCUCAGCAGCAGUUUAGAGGGUGGUGUACAGGGGGUGUCGUGGACUGUGGGUCUCUCCUUUCCAUCUGUACAGAGUAUUUGGGAAUGGAAGCGGAGAAAAGGGCUGGAAGGGUGAAGGAGGGAUACAGUCCUGAGUGCUCCUAGAUCACUGGUUCAUCUUUUCCCCUGAGUGCGCACUGCAGAAAUGUUUUCUGAGCUUUCUACCUGUGUCCUACAGCUGGGCACCAGCAUACCACUGCAACUUCCCUCUCUCACUGAUUGCACGUGGCUCCUUUAUAAAAUAUCACUUUGUUUCUCUGGGUCUCUGAUUGCUCCAAUAAAUGUUCUCCUUUGCAGGGGAGCCUAAAACACUUAUCCCAUUCCACUUCCACCCCCCUUGAAGGUUUACACAUUGUUUGCAAACAGAUUUUCCCCUGUCACUGCCUAAGUGGUGUCUUUUUCCCCGAAGCACCAGACAAGGAGGUGUGCAGGGAGAGGUGGAGCGACACAGCCAACCACCCUGCCUGGCUCUGUCUGUUCCUUGUGGGGAUGGGAAGUGACACAUUUCCACGAGGUAAUUACAUGUUGUCAUUUCUCCGUGUGCCAUGCGCUGCUUUGUGGGAAACUUUGAAGUCCCUUGAAACAUUUUUUGAGAGAACUGA